GAAGGGUUAAGGGUAGUGGGAGUUGGCACCCAGACCACUCCAAUGGGCAGAAGUGGUCUGGGUGCCUGGAGUGUCCCUUUAAUGUGCUGGUGUCCCAAACUUGUGAGCUGUGUUGGCCACUGGGCGCCUCUGUUGUCAUGGCACUCUACGUGACCCCACAGCUUGCACACCUCAAAGGCUGGCUCUGCUGACAGACACACUGGCACUCACUCUCAAUAGCACACACACAAACCCUGGCAAACACUCACUGACAGGCAGACACAGACACACACACAAACCCUGACAGACAAACACUCACUGACAGGCAGACACAGACACAUACACACACACACACACACACACACACACAC